rnacentral:rRNA from 1 species
UACAGAGGUCUCAAGCGUUGUUCGGAUUCAUUGGGCGUAAAGGGUGCGUAGGUGGCGCUGUAAGUCGGGUGUGAAAUUUCGGAGCUUAACUCCGAAACUGCAUUCGAUACUGCGGUGCUUGAGGACUGGAGAGGAGACUGGAAUUCAUGGUGUAGCAGUGAAAUGCGUAGAGAUCAUGAGGAAGACCAGUGGCGAAGGCGGCGAUCUGGGCAGAUACUGACGCUGAGGUGCGAAAGCGUGGGGAGCAAACAGG